rnacentral:rRNA from 1 species
UACGUGAGGGGCAAGCGUUGUUCGGAUUCAUUGGGCGUAAAGGGCUCGUAGGCGGUUUGUCGCGUCGGGAGUGAAAACCCAGGGCUUAACCCUGGGCUGGCUUCCGAUACGGGCAGACUAGAGGUAUGCAGGGGAGAACGGAAUUCCUGGUGUAGCGGUGAAAUGCGCAGAGUAUCAGGAGGAACACCGGUGGCGAAGGCGGUUCUCUGGGCAUUACCUGACGCUGAGGAGCGAAAGCGUGGGGAGCGAACAGG